GAUGAACGCUGGCGGCGUGCUUAACACAUGCAAGUCGAACGGAAAGGCCCAAGCUUGCUUGGGUCCUCGAGUGGCGAACGGGUGAGUAACACGUGGGUGAUCUGCCCUGCACUUCGGGAUAAGCCUGGGAAACUGGGUCUAAUACCGGAUAGGACCACUUCUUGGAUGUUGUGGUGGAAAGUUUUUUCGGUGUGGGAUGAGCUCGCGGCCUAUCAGCUUGUUGGUGGGGUAAUGGCCUACCAAGGCGUCGACGGGUAGCCGGCCUGAGAGGGUGUACGGCCACAUUGGGACUGAGAUACGGCCCAGACUCCUACGGGAGGCAGCAGUGGGGAAUAUUGCACAAUGGGCGCAAGCCUGAUGCAGCGACGCCGCGUGGGGGAUGACGGCCUUCGGGUUGUAAACUCCUUUCGCUAGGGACGAAGCGUUUUUGUGACGGUACCUGGAGAAGAAGCACCGGCUAACUACGUG
rnacentral:rRNA from 1 species